rnacentral:tRNA from 1 species
UCCCUGGUGGUCCAGUGAUUAGGACUCUGUGCUUUAACUGCUGAGGGUGCAGGUUCAAACCCUGGUCAGGGAA